rnacentral:rRNA from 1 species
AGCGAACGCUGGCGGCAGGCCUAACACAUGCAAGUCGAACGAACCUUUCGGGGUUAGUGGCGGACGGGUGAGUACCACGUGGGAACGUGCCUUUAGGUUCGGAAUAACUCAGGGAAACUUGUGCUAAUACCGCAUGUGCCCUUCGGGGGAAAGAUUUAUGGCCGUUAGGGCGGCCCGCGUCUGAUUCGCUAGUUGGUUGAGGUAAUGGCUCACCAAGGCGACGAGCAGUAGCUGGUCGGAGAGGAGGAUCAGCCACAUUGGGGCUGGGACACGGCCCAAACGCCUGCGGGAGGCAGCAGUGGGGAAUCUUGCGCAAUGGGCGAAAGCCUGACGCAGCCAGGCCGCGUGAAUGAUGAAGGUCUUAGGAUUGUAAAAUUCUUUCACCGGGGACGAUAAUGACGGUACCCGGAGAAGAAGCCCCGGCUAACUUCGU